rnacentral:rRNA from 1 species
GACAGGCUUAACACAUGCAAGUCGAGGGGCAGCACAGGUAGCAAUACCGGGUGGCGACCGGCGCACGGGUGAGUAACGCGUAUGCAACUUGCCUAUCAGAGGGGGAUAACCCGGCGAAAGUCGGACUAAUACCGCAUGAAGCAGGGGCCCCGCAUGGGGAUAUUUGCUAAAGAUUCAUCGCUGAUAGAUAGGCAUGCGUUCCAUUAGGCAGUUGGCGGGGUAACGGCCCACCAAACCGACGAUGGAUAGGGGUUCUGAGAGGAAGGUCCCCCACAUUGGUACUGAGACACGGACCAAACUCCUACGGGAGGCAGCAGUGAGGAAUAUUGGUCAAUGGCCGAGAGGCUGAACCAGCCAAGUCGCGUGAGGGAUGAAGGUUCUAUGGAUCGUAAACCUCUUUUAUAAGGGAAUAAAGUGCGGGACGUGUCCCGUUUUGUAUGUACCUUAUGAAUAAGGAUCGGCUAACUCCGUGCCAGCAGCCGCGGUAAUACGGAGGAUCCGAGCGUCAUCCGGAUUUAUUGGGUUUAAAGGGUGCGUAGGCGGCCUUUUAAGUCAGCGGUGAAAGUCUGUGGCUCAACCAUAGAAUUGCCGUUGAAACUGGGGGGCUUGAGUAUGUUUGAGGCAGGCGGAAUGCGUGGUGUAGCGGUGAAAUGCAUAGAUAUCACGCAGAACCCCGAUUGCGAAGGCAGCCUGCCAAGCCAUUACUGACGCUGAUGCACGAAAGCGUGGGGAUCAAACAGGAUUAGAUACCCUGGUAGUCCACGCAGUAAACGAUGAUCACUAGCUGUUUGCGAUACACUGUAAGCGGCACAGCGAAAGCGUUAAGUGAUCCACCUGGGGAGUACGCCGGCAACGGUGAAACUCAAAGGAAUUGACGGGGGCCCGCACAAGCGGAGGAACAUGUGGUUUAAUUCGAUGAUACGCGAGGAACCUUACCCGGGUUUGAACGCAUUCGGACCGAGGUGGAAACACCUUUUCUAGCAAUAGCCGUUUGCGAGGUGCUGCAUGGUUGUCGUCAGCUCGUGCCGUGAGGUGUCGGCUUAAGUGCCAUAACGAGCGCAACCCUUGCCACUAGUUACUAACAGGUUAGGCUGAGGACUCUGGUGGGACUGCCAGCGUAAGCUGCGAGGAAGGCGGGGAUGACGUCAAAUCAGCACGGCCCUUACAUCCGGGGCGACACGCGUGUUACAAUGGCGUGGACAAAGGGAUGCCACCUGGCGACAGGGAGCGAAUCCCCAAACCACGUCUCAGUUCGGAUCGGAGUCUGCAACCCGACUCCGUGAAGCUGGAUUCGCUAGUAAUCGCGCAUCAGCCAUGGCGCGGUGAAUACGUUCCCGGGCCUUGUACACACCGCCCGUCAAGCCAUGGGAGCCGGGGGUACCUGAAGUCCGUAACCGAAAGGAUCGGCCUAGGGUAAAACUGGUGACUGGGGCUAAGUCAU